UAGAAUACUGGAUAUAAAGUCUUAUAAACAUUAUAGUUCAAUGGUCAAUUUUUUUCAAAAAAGAUAUUUUGUUCCAAACAUUGUUUAUAAUUUUAAAAUAUUUUAAAUAACAUAUAAAAUUACUGAAAAUAUCGAGAUUUUUCCCAAUAAUGCUGCAUUAGUGCAGUGACAUUAUUAAAAUAACUAAGUAACUUUAAAUCAUAAAAAUUAAUUUUUUUUUUAAAUCCACAACAUUGUCUGAAAAAUUAAACGCUUUCCAUAAAGAUAAGACAAAGAGUUCUGCGUCGAAAUAAUAAUGUAUUUAACCCGUACUUUUUUUGCAACUUUAUCAUCUACUCUGCAUACCGUGACCGACUUCAGCAGUAUUAUACAGCAAGUCCGUUGUGACACCAACACCGCCUGUAGAACACAGCUCCGGACAUGACAUAUCGAACCGGUUGAGUCGUCGUGUCGUCAACUCCAUCAUACCUUCAAAACAAGAAUUUUUCCGCAUUACGGUUUCUUUAGCGACGGUUGUACACCAUCUACUUACAUACUAAUCAGCGGCAGAAACAGCAGCAGCAGCAGUACGUUAUAUACACUUCCUGCGUAAUAAUAAUUAUUAUUGUUAACGUCGCCGGAGGGGUAGGGGAAAAAACCGAUUUACCCUGGUCGUGCGCCAAGGCCUAAGAUCGUAAGACCGCGAAACGUCUUUUGUGUGCUCGGCGUCUGUGACGGCUGCUGGUCGUCGGCACACGUCUUUAACGUACAUCAGAUCAUCCGGACCGUGACACGCGGGAACGGUUGCACGCACGCGUACUGGGCGCGUGUCCAGCCAGGUGCAUUGCCGAUCCGAGGCCCAUAAGAAAGGGAUGCGAUCGUCUUAUAAUAUAAUAUGUAUACAACGGUUAGAACGGUUGGCGUUUUACUCGUGUACUUCGCGUCAUCUCAAGCAAACCUUAUAUCCGGCGGGAAGUUUCUUCGUAAUCAUAAUAUAAUAAUAUAAUAAUAAUUGGCCGCCAAUGACGAGCAAUUUAUUCGAAAUCGAAACGCUGAUCGCACGCGCCGUUACAUUAUAAUAUAAUAUCUGUACCGGUGGGUGGUAUAGCUGUGGCGCGGUACAGGAAAUUAUAGCUGUAAUCGAACAGAGUGUAUAUAGUUAUAAAAUGUAACACGUUAAUGUAUAAUAUCAAUAAGGUGUGCGCAUUUUAAUUAUUGACACUUAUUGUACACCGUACAAAUGGAACCGACGACAUUUACGUAAGUAUACGAAGACAGUGACUAGAGCUGGCUUAGAUGAUGAGUGAUGGUGGUCAAGUGUGUAGCGUGAUUAUUGGACGCUCAAGCAGAUUCUAAGCUGUAUGCGAAAAAUAUAAUUCAACGUAAAAGUCCUAACAGUAUCAAAAUUAAUGUUGAGAAUAAAGAAGAGAUAAAGAUAAAUAUUAAUGGGUUUAAACUUUAAAAAAAACAGUUCCACCACCGAUAAUAAAUAAUUUAGUAAAUAAAUACGUUCGUGUGCCGUUUCAAAUGCGGUCGCGGGUGCAGCACGCCGUAACGCGGCGGCCGCGGAACAAUUAUUACUAUAUCAUAGUCUUACGGUCGUAUAGGUAGGUUCCGACUUCCGGAUUUCACAGUGUUGAUGGUCGUAGCUAUAAUAUGUACACGAUGACGACAAUAAUCUAGACGGGUAGGUCAGAGGAACUUGUGGUUUUUCGCGUUUCCGGUACGGAUUCAGGAUAUCCUGAGACCGGUUAUAUAUGUAUGUAUACUUAUACAAUACGAAAUUAAAACAUAGAUUUGGUCAAGUGAUCACUGAUCGUCGUCGUCCUCGUCAUGGUAUAUUGUCGAUCCGAUCAUCCGCGAAGAGCCAGCGGGAGUGAACAAAGGAAUUAACGUCAUUUACUGAACAGCGGGAUAGAAAACAGUAAAAACUACCUAUGUAAUAAAAGAGGGUGUCGUCACAUGCUUACUUAUAUAUUAAACGCGAAGAUUUUGGUAAAAACUCGCGCGAUUAAAUCAAGUUUAUCCACUCGACUUCGCGCGUCUACCGUUAUUGUUAUACGCGCACGUGACUAGGUGGCGUUUCAGAUGCGACAAUACCUACAUAAUAUCCGAUCGAAACAAAUUGUACGAUACAAUAAUAUACCGAAUAUUAUUACUGUCGAGCACAUUUAAUUGACAAGGAGGACCGGUGCAGUUGUAGCAUUGAAUUAUUAAUCAUCGCCUGACAUGCGGUAAUGUGAUCGCCAAACGUGAUAACGGCGCUCACCAAAUUACCUUAAUGCUCUAUAUGUUCAGAAUUUUAUGGACUUUGGGUGUCAACGUGCCGCACAAGAAGGGGGUGACGACGAGGUGGACUGCAUAUAUUGUCCUAAGAACGCGAAACGUAUGUAAUCAUAAUACAAUCGCUGUAGGUGGUAUACAUAUUCAUAUAAUAAUAUUAUAGGCGAGUCUUUUUUUUUUUUUCAAAGUCGUCGUACGAAUGAUAAUUAUAAUUACAAUUCCGUACCGCAUCUAUUUGUUUUAGGUAACGAAAACUAAAAACUUCAUUAAUUCAUUAAUCUAAAAUAUACACAUAUUAUUAUACACCACCGUGACAUGCUAGGUACCUACCUGCAGUAGGUACAGUAAUAUUGAUAUCAUUUUUUCGUUUUUUUUUUUUUUUUUUUUAUACGAAUAAAGGCUUUAACUAUAUUAGAUAUUUUCACCCUACAUCUUAUCACUAUAUAGAUUUCUCAUCACACGACUUAAUUUAACUCGACUUGAUUAAUAUUAGGGUUUGUGAUAGAAUAAUUAUUACAUUGAGCAGGUACCUAUUUAUUGUUAUUUUUAACUAAUUACAUUUAUAUCGUAUUUUUUUAUAUUUAUACCGAUGGUUUAGUAAUAUUAUUGUAUAAUAAGUUGUUAUCGUUCGGUCGAAUAAAAAUAAAUAAAUAAAAACACUUGAAAUAUUAUUAUUUGUCAUUAGUUUAUCUUUGUAUUAACUUGUUAUGUUACCUAUUGGACGCAAACCUGUCAAUUUUUUUUUGA